rnacentral:ribozyme from 1 species
UUUUGGUAGUGCUCUGCAAUGGAAAAGGACGCGAAGCCUCUCGGAUAACUGAGGCUCUCCUAUCCAACUCCUAUCUGGACAAGUCCCAGUUCGUACAGAGUGGUAACAUGGGUCAUUGUAUAUCCAAGCUUGAGUAAACGGACUCGUUUCAAUCCCUUGGGCGGAUGGUGGCGCAUGCCUAAUCAGGAGGGG